UUAUGGCCAUAUCACAUUGAAACACUAGUUCCCUUACAUUCACUAAAGUUAAGCAACAUCGAGCCUAGUUAGUACCUAGAUGGGUGACCACUUGGGAAUACCAGGUGCUGUAA